CUCCCACUGAAUUAAAUUGCCAAUUGACAAAAAGUGAUUUUUAAGACCUUUACAUAUUUCUCCAAGUGCCUCCACAAUUUUUUCACUGGGGCAUGCCCCGCGGACCCACCUAGAGUUGUGACUCACAAGUAUUAAAUUACUCUCCCUCCCAAAGAAAAAGAGAAAAUAUUAAGAAUACCUUGACCUUACAUUAUCAACUCGCUUAGAAUUCAAAUUUUAAAAAAGUUGCUGAAAAAUAAUACACGUUCAUUCAGACCUUACGCGACCAGCAUACCUGCUUGUAGUUCUAAAGUACCGCCAUUAAAUUCGUUCCAAUCUUUAGACUGUACAGAUACCCCGUACGCCUCUAAGGUGGUUAUCAUAUCCCUUACAUCAGUAAUGUCAGGCACGUUCGUUAAAGUGACUUUUUCCUUCGUCAGUAAACUCGCUGCCAUUUGUGGCAGAACGGCAUUUUUUGCUCCAGAAAUCUUGAUUCUGCCUUGGAGUUUAGGU